AGACCCGAAACCCGGUGAUCUAGCCAUGGGCAGGUUGAAGGUUGGGUAACACUAACUGGAGGACCGAACCGACUAAUGUUGAAAAAUUAGCGGAUGACCUGUGGCUGGGGGUGAAAGGCCAAUCAAACCGGGAGAUAGCUGGUUCUCCCCGAAAGCUAUUUAGGUAGCGCCUCGUGAAUUCAUCUCCGGGGGUAGAGCACUGUUUCGGCUAGGGGGCCAUCCCGGCUUACCAACCCGAUGCAAACUGCGAAUACCGGAGAAUGUUAUCACGGGAGACACACGGCGGGUGCUAACGUCCGUCGUGAAGAGGGAAACAACCCAGACCGCCAGCUAAGGUCCCAAAGUCAUGGUUAAGUGGGAAACGAUGUGGGAAGGCCCAGACAGCCAGGAUGUUGGCUUAGAAGCAGCCAUCAUUUAAAGAAAGCGUAAUAGCUCACUGGUCGAGUCGGCCUGCGCGGAAGAUGUAACGGGGCUAAACCAUGCACCGAAGCUGCGGCAGCGAACGUAUCACCCAAGACAACUUUGCGGAGUUGACGAUUGACGGAGCGAAGCGACGUCAAAGCGUUCAUUAAAGUCGAGUUGGCUUAGGGAUACGUUCGUUGGGUAGGGGAGCGUUCUGUAAGCCUGUGAAGGUAUGCUGUGAGGCAUGCUGGAGGUAUCAGAAGUGCGAAUGCUGACAUAAGUAACGAUAAAGCGGGUGAAAAGCCCGCUCGCCGGAAGACCAAGGGUUCCUGUCCAACGUUAAUCGGGGCAGGGUGAGUCGACCCCUAAGGCGAGGCCGAAAGGCGUAGUCGAUGGGAAACGGGUUAAUAUUCCCGUACUUGGUGUUACUGCGAAGGGGGGACGGAGAAGGCUAUGUUGGCCGGGCGACGGUUGUCCCGGUUUAAGCGUGUAGGUGUGUGUUCCAGGUAAAUCCGGUUCACUUUAACACUGAGGCGUGACGACGAGGCACUACGGUGCUGAAGCAACAAAUGCCCUGCUUCCAGGAAAAGCCUCUAAGCAUCAGGUAACAUCAAAUCGUACCCCAAACCGACACAGGUGGUCAGGUAGAGAAUACCAAGGCGCUUGAGAGAACUCGGGUGAAGGAACUAGGCAAAAUGGUGCCGUAACUUCGGGAGAAGGCACGCUGACACGUAGGUGAAGUGAUUUACUCAUGGAGCUGAAGUCAGU
rnacentral:rRNA from 1 species